rnacentral:lncRNA from 1 species
GGGAGAAAAUGGGGAACUAGAGGAACAGGAUCUUGGGAAGGGGCCCAGUAUGCUACGAGAUCUUAGUUUGGAUCCAAGGGAGGGGCCAAGCAGAUUGUCAGAGGAGAGGUCUGCCCCAGUGUCACCGAACACACCAAGCAUAAUCACAGCUGGCUUGUGCCCUGUGCUGCCUCUCACCAGUGAAGAGUCUCUCAUCUUCGUCAAAGUACUUGUAGAAAAAUCAGUGAACCAAGCCUGUUGCCUCCUUCCCUGUCAAAAAGGGUGAGAAGAUGACUGUGCCAGUCUAAACAAACUCCGCAAAUACAGCCUACUUGGAGGAGUGCCUAUCUACUUGCCCCGUCCUGUGGCUCGGGACGCCAACUGCACAAAUGACUGUGUCUGCCCCAUUUUUCCAAAGGAAAGCUUUGGGGGGCAUAUCAAAUGUUGGGACAAUGUCUUAGCUUUUGCCUAGCCAUGGACUUAAGAGAGAUGUGUCAGCUGUUAACCUGAAUGCUUUUUACGCUGGCUUGUGUAUCGAACUGACCUAUACAUUAAAGCCUUUGCCAAAAAUGAAAGUGGUAAGCUGAGUACUGUGUCUGCUAGGAUGGGCCAGGACAAAUGCAGUCAUUGUUGCCUGUACUUACUGUUUCUUGUGGAUUUCUUGAGAUAGGCUUGUGUAGCUUCUGUUGACCAAGUGGCUUCACGGUCCUUCCUAAUCCUACCCACUCUUCUUUCCAUCCGCCUGACUGCUGAUGGAAAUUAAAAUAGCUUGCAUUUCCCAUUGUUCCAAUUUGGGUUCUUUUCUGAGUAGCAAUGAUUAUAUUAAUUAAGGACUUUUUGUCAUCUCUCUCUCUCUCCUUUUUAUGGUAAUUCCUAUGUGAAUAUAAAUCUUUAAAUGUAAUUUUUAAAAUAGUAUGAAAUAUUAUGAGAAUCUGGUUUUAAUGAGAGAUUUCUCAUGGUUCCUGGAAAAUUUUAAGUAGAAAAAUGUAAGGUAAAAUUACUGACAGCAGCUAUGCAGAUUCCUCCAUCUAAUUAUUCUAGGGGAAGUAAACAGACCUUGCUUUCAGUUGAGUAGCUGAAAUGAAUUAGGUUGACAAUCUUCUGACACAUUUGCCUACUUAAAAAAUUAGGAGGAGAGAAGGCAGCUGAAUACGUUGAAUGUUUUGAUGAGCAUAACAAGAAAAAAACCCUAAAAUUCAUUUGUAUCUUGCACUAGCUAUAUGGGGCAUACGAACUGAGCUGAUAAAGGCAUGAAAUUCUCUGCUUUGAUUAAAAAAAUAUAUUUGAGAGACAAGGGGUGCAACCCAGAGAAGGUUGGGGACACUAAGUGGUCAUGAGAACAGAGGCCAAGGAUAAAAAAAAAUGUGCUGGUAGCUCUAUGUGCCCAUAGCAGCUUUUGUCUUGUGUUCAAGAAAUAUAUUGGAUUCAAAGGAAAUUUGGGAUGUGUCCUUAGAGCAGCUGCUGUUUCAAGAGCAAACACUUUUUGAAGUGGCAAACAAUUUUUGAAGCGGGAGGCUUUUACAAAAAUGUCUUGUGAUGUGACUCAGGGAGUUUGCAAUUCAAAGACCCAAAUAGUGAAAAUCUGAGAUUGUUUAAGGUAGAUCUUUAGGUUCUACCCAUAGUUUAAGUCCCAUAGAUCUCGGUAAAUGAGACCUGAUUGCUGACUGAGAGAUGGAAGUAUUGCUUGAACAGAAAGGAGAAUUGGAAGCUAAAACAUACAACUUCAAGAGGCAGCUGUGAAACUAUGAUGCUAUGAGGUUGCCAGACCUCUUUUAAGCUGCCAAAGAGUGAACAGUCAUGCAGUUGGUAGGGUGCAAUGCUAUGGCCAAUCUUCAAAUGAAAUAUUUGAGUGUUUGGCACAAUAUCACUUAGUUACCUUGAGAUUCUCUAGAGAGAAUCCCUAAUCUAUUUGUCUGCUGCCAAUACCAGUAGAAUUUAGGGUUGAUUUCCACAUGCUUUUUGGAUGCCUUCAUCUGCCCACCUGCAGUAAAACAUGUAUCUCCCAUAUUGGUCUCUACAGCCAUAGCAGGUGCUGUAACUCUCCAAUGGUUUGACCAAAAGGUGCAUUCUUCCAUUGUCUCCCGAGACAGAUGGAUGCCAAAAGAACAAUUGGUGACUUUCAGGUGAAUGUGUGAACAGCGUGCUUUGGAAAAUACUGAGUUUAAAUAAACAAUAGGGUGAUGGGAAACUUCUGUCUGAGGUGGCUUAUCUCUGCUGCUGGUUAAUCUUUUAUGGCUCAUUCAUGCAUGCAAGUCUGUCAGUGGUGGAUCUGCAUAUCUGAACAGUUCAGAGAGACUCCUAAUUUUCUCUAGGGUGUGCUCAAUAAUUUUAGAAGACAGCUGGAAGAAGGGUUGAUGAUUUUCCAAGGGUGAUGCCAGUCAAUCCAUUGUUGAGGUCAGAAGAACUCAAAACUCUCUUCACAAGGAUGCACUUGUGAAUGUUACUUCUGCUGAAGUGUCAGACAGCAUUUGGAUUCCAUUUUGCAGGUACCUUCAAGCUUUUAAGAAUUGCCUGGGACACCACUUACUUCAUCGCUGUUACAUCUCUUUGCGUGGCUUAUUAUUGUAGCAACAAAAGAAAGAUUUAAGAUAAAGCACGACAUUCUCAUUAUAGUCCUUAAGACGAAUCUUCAUUCACUUUAAUAUGUGAGAAAAAUGCACUAUUGUUAAAACUUUUCUUUAUGGGUACAUUUAUUAGGUACUGGGAAUAUUUUCACUGUAAUUGGGUAAAUCUUAAUAGUAGCAAUUGCAUAUUUAUCAGUGUGAGAGGCUGUUAUUAAUGUAGCUGUCAUGCACAAACACAUUUCUGCAUGAAAUCCAUUUAGUAUGUGCAUUAUUCGGUCUGGAAUGUCACCGGGACAUCAAAGCCCCCCUUAGGCAUAAGAGCCCAGUGCCCUGCUGCGGCUGCAGAAGGGGCUUGAUCAAUAAACGUAACAUGUUAAUGCGGAGCAAAUAGAAUAAAAGAUUUUCUUUGACAAGACAUGAAAAAUCACCUUGUGUCAGCUGGCAUGGCGAUGCCAUUUCAGCAGAGACACUUGCAAACUUGAUCUGACAAGUAAAGAGGAGAGAUGAUGGUUAUAAGGUGCUUUUGUUUCAAACUUCUUUUUUGACCUGUCAGGCUUUGAAGGAGCCUGAAUGGCCCUUUUUUGUCAUGUGAAAAUUGUAGUCUUAGGCAGUUAUGAAGCAGUUAUCUCUUCUCAAAUUGUGAAUGCUGCUGUUUAAUUGAUUCACUUAGCAUUUGAAACUGUCACGCAUUAAUAAUUGCUAAAUCCUGUAGGUACUCUCUGAUGUGUCAUGCUUAAAUGUGUAGUUAUCAGAAAAUUAAUAUCCUUAAUGAACCAGCGCUUUAGACUAGCAUUGCAUGAAAUUCUCCUUUGCCCUUUCAUUUGCUGAAUGUAUACCAGCCAGUUUUCAGAGUGAACCCCUCCUGGAGGAUGGUGCAUUCUUUUUGAUGCCCGACAAUUGCCAGAUUUGCUUUGGGUACACAGUGUGCUAAAUGACAAAUACAGUAAUUAUACUGGAGUUAGUAAUUAACAUAAUUAUAGUCAAUUAUGACAAAUACAGUGCAGAGCUAAAUAAAUGAGAGGGGGGAGAAAUUAGCAAGCUAAUUGAUUUAUCUUGUUCGGUGUUUGCAACUGGCAGUUGUAGCCUUCCCCCCCCUCCUUGGGAAAUAAAGUGAUGUUUACACAUACUGGAUCUUGUUGCGAAGCCGUUCUGUCUUGCAACUCUUCUGCAUACUUUUCUAGAUUUCUUUUUUAAAAGACUGAAACUUGGGAGGGGGAAUUUCCUCCACCUUACUUAAUACUGAGGUGUUUUUUUAUUGCCUAAAACUAACCCACUGAAUUUGGUGCAUGUAAUUUUAUUUUUCUUAAACAGAUUUGCCUUUGCUUAUCCACCCAUACAGAUUUUGUUUCUGCUGUAAAGUAUUUGAAGCUUAUUGUAAUUCUCCUCCCUGUGGCUUGUUCGCACAGAUUGCGUCAAGUAACUAACGAACUUGUACAAUUUAGUUUGUUGUUCUAAAAUCAUCCAAUAUGAGAUGCUUGCCUGUAUUUCUCACUUGAAUCAAAAGCUGUUCUGAUUGAAAACUCUGAUAGAAAUUUCAGAGGGUGCUAACGCUUUCUUGUGUUUAAAUAUGGAUUUAUUUCAAACAGAUAAAAAAAAGUAGGGUCUAGAGUGAAAAAACGCUACGCAUGAUUUUCAGCAUGUUGAUAGGAGCUUUCCAGCUCUCUCUUCCUGGUGGCAUCUUAUAACUCCCCUGUCCCUGAAGAUAAUGGGCCUUUUGUAUCAGCACUCCUUAAAGUGUGAAGGGCUACUGUCAGUAGUAUAAACAAGUAACCAAAGUGCUGCCUGGAAGUAACCUGUAUAGGCAGGUCCCUCUAGAAUUCAGCCAGGAGCUAUAUUACACACGCACACACACACACACACAGAGAGAGAAGAGCCAGUGUGGUGUAGUGGUUAGGGGGUCAGACUAAGAGCUGGGAGACCAGGGCUGCAUCUAGACACAUCAAAGAAGUGUUUCAGUUAAACAUGUUUUAAACUUUGAGAAAUUGCAUUGGCAAAAAUGGAACUCCACAGCGCCAUCUGGUGUUACAGUGGUAUAAUGCAUAUACAACACAUAUAAAACACUUUUUCUUUACCAAUCUAGCUGAGUCCCAGGGUUCAAAUCCGUACUUGGCCAUGAAGAUUGCUAGGUGACUUAUGGCCAGUCUCCGCCCCUCAGCCUAAUGUACCUCACAACAUUGUGGGGUUUAAAUGAAGAGGAGGAGAAAACUAUGUAUGUCACCUUCAGCACCUUGGAGAAAAAGGUGGGAUAUAAAUACAAACAAAUAAACAAACUUUUAUCCUGCCCCUUUUCCUAAGGUUGCCCAGUAAAGUAGUAAAACAAUAACAUUAGAAACACACUUAAAGCAUUUUAAAACAAUAACAUCUAAAAACAGUCAAUGUUUUUGGCUCUAUCAACUUGGGUUGGGAAAAGCUUUUGAUUUCUCUUUUUUUUCCUAGCCAAAUGCCCAGUUUUUCCCAUUUUUGCAUCAAUUUGCAAAAUUUUCUUUCAAAAAAUCUGCACAUUUUCCCUAAUUCAGGCAUUUUUCUAGCAUACUGUAUGUGAUGGUAUGUGUAUAUGCAUAUCUCUGUGUUAAAAUAUUUCAGUUGGAGAAGAGAACUGUGAGUUUCAAAGGAUAAAUGUUUUGGUUUGUUUAUUGGUUCAGGAAUUGCAGAAUAGGUAGGGUUCAUGUUAAAAUGUGACCUGAAAGAAUUUCUCUUCCAUCCCUAGUAUAUGCAGAAGGAGGAGAUUGAAAAGGCACAGAGAUUUUUCUAGAACAGCAAGGGGUAACUCUGAAAUCAAAUGUGACAAGGGUACUGGUCCAGACACACUUAAAUGCUCUCUCUAAAAUCACCAUUCAAGAUGCUGACACAGUAAAGAAUGAUAAGAGGAACAGGAAACUGCUACAUCAUGAAAGCCUUUGUCUUUUACUCUGUACUUUGCUCCCCCUGCUUGGUGCUGAAGAAGUACCCAAUGUGCUGCAAAAAGGAGGUGGCAGCCUCAGUAACAUUGCAGGCACAAUACAAUUUGGUAGCUAUUUUUGUGUGUGUUAGCCAUGCUAAAAAGAGCCACUCUGAUGUCACUCUGUCUAUUACGUGAAGUGGCGCAGACGAUUGUCAUAGAGCAAAAUGAGGAAAACCUGAUUAUCAUGACAGCAUCAAAGACCAGUGCAUUUUUUCUCAGGCUGAGGAGCCAGUGUGUCAGAUUAGACAUGCAUAUAUAGUAAUUAUGCUGUCAUCCAGGUCAUAGUUAAUAUAGGUUUGUAAUUCAAGUUAGAGUCUCUUUCAGUGAAGAGACACUGACAACCAGGGAAGGCUUGUGCUUUGAGUUUUUGUGGUUGGUUUCCAUUAUGUGGUCAGUUGGUGGCUGAACAGUUAUUUUUGUCUUGGUUGCUCUUAUUUCAGUGUUAUUUUGGCAAUAGUGAGAGGACUCCUGGCCAAGAUCUUAGUUGAUGUUAUGAUGCCUUCUUGCAUUUCUUCCUCCUUGCUAAUUCCUUUCUCAGCUUGUGAACAAAAGACAAGAGAAUUGUUAGGAAAACAUGUUUAAAAAGCAGUUGAUAGAUUUUGUGCUAUACUGAAAUUUCUAUGUCAAUGGAAAAACUUUUAGCCUGAAUUCAACCGUUCAGUUUGGAUUUCUUGACUGCACUGACAUGCAAUUUGAUUUUAAAUGCUGCAUUUAAAGCUCUCUGGGGUUAAGCUGCUUGAGGACUGAUUUGGCAUGGGGAAAUGGCACUGUGCCCCCUUCCCCAUCUGCCACCUCUUCACUCCUGAUUGCCUUCACCAGAAGAGGGUUUUCGUUAUUUGAAGGGGGCCAUUGAACCAUCAUUUAACAUAUUCAUAUGUAGUGUGCAGUUUAUAAUUUCUGGUAACAUGCUUGUCAGAUAUAUGUGAUAUUGUUGAUUUUCAAACUAUAAGCACUCUGCUUGUUUGAGGCUUGGUACACUGAGUGUUGUUGUCGUUAUAACACUAUAUUACCAGUUCUUCACCUAAGGCCUCAGGGCAGGUUACAACCAUUAAAACACGAGAGAUAUUAUAUAUACAGUGGUACCUCGGGUUAAGUACUUAAUUCGUUCCGGAGGUCCGUUCUUAACCUGAAACUGUUCUUAACCCGAAGCACCACUUUAGCUAAUGGGGUCUCCUGCUGUUGUGCCGCCGCCGCUGCACGAGUUCUGUUCUUAUCCUGAAGCAAAGUUCUUAACCCGAGGUAAUAUUUCUGGGUUAGCAGAGUCUGUAACCUGAAGCGUAUGUAACCAGAAGUACCACUGUAUAUAUACAUAUAUAAAAUACCCAGGC